GUCUCUUCCAAGGAAGCAUGAAAUUCCUCUAGGAACUAGAGCGUUCACACAUGGGAUUCUUUCCAGCUUCACGUCAGGCCAAUCUCUGAACUGUUGGCUCUUCUAUAAAGGCAGAGCUGCUACAGCAAGAUCCAAUGCCAUUAUCAAGAACCGCAUCAUUAGACCGUCUGGUGGCUCUAACUCCAAGAUAAACAGUUACUUCUGUCAGCCACAGCAUUCCACAAAGCCCAGCGAUCACAACUGGGCAGUUGAAGACACAGUUCAAGUGUACAGUCCUCCAUGACUGAGAAGUUCAAGUGUACAGUCCAUCAUGACUGAGAAGUUCAAGUGGACAGUCCACCAUGACUGAGAAGUAAAGGGAAGCCACUGACAUUGAUAUGGUUCAGAAGAUAGCUGGAUUGUGGCGUGAUGUUGGGGGAAUAGAAAUCUUCUCAAUCCCGGAAGGCUAGCGUGG
ensembl:lincRNA Gm33206 predicted gene, 33206